rnacentral:rRNA from 1 species
AACGAACGCUGGCGGCAGGCCUAACACAUGCAAGUCGAGCGAAGCCUUCGGGCUUAGCGGCGGACGGGUGAGUAACGCGUGGGAACGUGCCCUUUGCUACGGAAUAGCCCCGGGAAACUGGGAGUAAUACCGUAUGUGCCCUUCGGGGGAAAGAUUUAUCGGCAAAGGAUCGGCCCGCGUUGGAUUAGGUAGUUGGUGUGGUAAUGGCCUACCAAGCCGACGAUGCAUAGCUGGUUUGAGAGCAUGAUCCGCCACACUGGGACUGAGACACGGCCCAGACUCCGAGGGGGGGCAGCAGUGGGGAACCUUAGACAAUGGGGGAAACCCUGAUCUAGCCAUGCCGCGUGAUCGAUGAAGGCCUUAGGGUUGUAAAGAUCUUUCAGUGGGGAAGAUAAUGACUGUACCCACAGAAGAAGCCCCGGCUAACUCCGUGCCAGCCGCCGCCGUAAAAC